rnacentral:tRNA from 2 species
GCGAGGGUGGCGGAAUCGGUAGACGCGCUAGACUUAGGAUCUAGUGAGGAAUACUCAUGGGGGUUCGAAUCCCCCCUCUCGCACCA